rnacentral:rRNA from 1 species
UACAGAGGGUGCGAGCGUUGUUCGGAAUUAUUGGGCGUAAAGGGCUCGUAGGCGGCCAACUAAGUCAGACGUGAAAUCCCUCAGCUUAACUGGGGAACUGCGUCUGAUACUGGAUGGCUUGGAUUUGGGAGAGGGAUGCGGAAUUCCAGGUGUAGCGGUGAAAUGCGUAGAUAUCUGGAGGAACACCGGUGGCGAAGGCGGCAUCCUGGACCAAUAUUGACGCUGAGGAGCGAAAGCCAGGGGAGCAAACGGG